GUAUUUUGAAUUGUUUAUUCAUAAUAUUUUUCAGACAAAGAGUUAAAAGAUAAAGGUUGAUGUUUGGUCGAUCUCCAAGAAGAUCGACUGACAUUGCACACAAGGUGGAUAUGGAUUUUUAAAAAGUGCCAUAAAACACUUUAUUAUGAAUGAUCCUUCCGCAGGUUCACCUACGGAAA
rnacentral:misc_RNA from 1 species